AAUCGCACCCCUCCCCACAAUCAGACCCACCAAAAAGGCAAGAAAAAAGAUCUCGCCGCUUUGCUUCCGCCUCUCUUCUCCUCUCCUACCCACACAAACACAAUUAGAGCCAGCGUCCGGUUCGGUUGCCUUUUCGUCGCCCCUUCUGCCACAAAUUCGCCGCCGCCGCCUCACUUCCCCUCCCCUUCACUUCCCUUCCCUUCCCUUCCCUUCCGUCGCAAGCCGCCGAUUCGAUGCCUGUGCACCCCUCGGUCGCCGCCGCCAGACCUGCCUUCUCGUUCUUGAAAAGCCGACAAGAGAGGAGGGGGGAACCGCUCCCUCGGCAUCCCUCAUCCAGAUCCCGGAAGCAGUUGCCCUAGCAACCCUAGGCGCUCUAGGGUACUGCGAAGCUCUUCCUCGCUAUGGGCUCCAGCAGGAAAAAAGGAUCUGGAAGGGCGGCCGCCGCCGCCGCCUCCUCCUCCCAGCGCCAAUGGAAGGUCGGCGAUCUCGUUCUUGCCAAGAUGAGGGGAUUCCCGGCAUGGCCCGCUGUGAUUAGCGAACCAGAGAGCUGGGGCUUCUCCGCUGUGAGUAAAAAGUUGUUCGUUUACUUCUACGGAACCAAACAAGUUGCCUUCUGCAAUUGCACCGACGUUGAAACUUUCACUGAAGAGAAAAAGAAAACUCUUUUGCUUAAGCGUCAAGGUAAAGGGGCUGAUUUUGUGCGAGCACUUGAUGAGAUAAUUGAUGUUUAUGAAACUUCGAAGAAGCAGAAUGCAGAUCAAUCUAUUUCAGGAGAUGAUGAAGAUGAGUCAUGUGGUGAAGAUAUAAACUGUGUAAGAACCACAAGCAAUUCUUCUAAUUUUAAUGACAGUUUGGAGUUUCACUCACAUAUAGCCUCCAACUGUGAGCUAGAAUCUGCAUGUAACUUAAUAGAAAACACUAAUAGGAUCAACUUUGAAGAAAUUUCUGCAAACUCAACUGCUGAUGAUUCACAGAAGAAUGUGCAAAUUCAAAAGUUGUCCAUCCUCGAUCAAAUUAGACAAGACCCGUUAGUCACUAGUUCUUCGAGGAAGAAAAGAUUGAAAGAUUCUUCUCAUAAAAGUUCGCUCUUGCCAAAAGUUGUGCCAACACUUAAGAGAUCAAGGAGUUCUUUACUUGCUGAUUCUUCAAAAGCUCUUGAGUCCUCUUCGGUGUCUGAUUCUGAUCUAUCUGGUACUUUUGUUCCUGAUACUAGCCAAAAUGACAAUCCAGAAAACAAUAACAAACAUGGUCUGUCACACUCUGCUAGUUCAAAUGGUUGUUGCAUGGAAGUUGCUGCUGAUGUAGCAUUAAAACAUGAGUUCAACAAGUUCACUCGAGGCAUUGUAGACUCUGAUUGUCAUCUUGAUGCCUCUACAGACCAAUACUUGGAUAAUAAAGAAAGGUCAAAUAAAAAUGACAAAUUUUGCUUGAAAUCUCCAGUCAAUAAGAAAAGGAAAACUGAUCGAGAAAAGGCUACAGAAAAUUCAGAAACUAAAAAAAAUGAUUUACCAGUUGUCCUUAGUAGUAGUUCACCCAAUUUGUUUGUUGAAAUGAAAGAAAUAAUUGGCACUGGAGAUGGAGAUGAACACCUUCCUUUGGUGAAAAGAGCAAGGGUUAGAAUGGGCAAGCCACUAGAGGUUGGGAGACAGCAUGGUGAGCUUGUUGGUAAUGAUGAGAAUUUGCACACGUCAAAGGUGAAUAAAUUUGAUGGAGGUGAUAUGCCAUCUAGUUCAGGAAAUGAUGAUGAUCUUAAUGGGGCGUUCGUUAAGGAAGAGUUAAAUAAUUCAUCAAUAAAUAAUAACUCUCCUACAAGAACAAACCAUAUUUUCUGGACGACCAAGUAUCAUUUGAAUGUUUCUUCUCUGGAUGUUGAAGCAGCUUUGCCUCCAUCAAAACGCCUGCAUCGUGCCCUAGAAGCUAUGUCUGCUAAUACUGCUCAAUCUAUGAAUGAUUUUCCUGAAUCAUCAAAGGCCACAAAAUCUACUGCAUCUCUGGAUGUUUGUGAGACAAAGGCAACAAUGGCCUUUAAUUUUUCUUCUGAUGCAAAGAUUGCCAUCCCUGAGAUGUUGCAGAGUACACAUGCUUCUGAUUGUCAUGUACAUGCAACUAAUGAAUCAACCUUGCCAUUGCAGAAUAUAAUCAAAUCUCCAUUAGCUUCUAAAGUAGAGUCUUGUGAGAUUUGCCCUGAAAUUGUCAGCGACCCACACACUGACUGUGAUGAAAUUGUGGGGGACCUUGAUAAAUGCGAUGGUACUAUGUCCAAAUUCACAGUUGUUACUACUGAAAAGAAAAGUCCACAGGCUUAUUCUUUGAAAUUUAUAGAAGACGAAGUAAGAGUUUCCUCCACUAAAGAUAUGUCUGAUAAAGUAUGCUUCCACUUAAACAAUUCAAAUAAAGACUUAAAGGGAAACAAGGAAGGAAGAGGUAUUGUGAGGAUGAAUGAGGUUAACAGGGAUGACACUUCUGAUUCCAAUAUGCACAAGGAUGGUUCUCUUUUGACUGCCCAAGAGGGUCUUCAUCCUUUUCGUCAUGAUGAAGCUGUUUCAAUUGUAUCAGCUACAGAUGUGGUCUCAAUGACAAGCAGUGCUUCUGUGGCAACAAGGGCUUCUAGUUUUCAGUCUGAUGAAGACUGUCAAACUGGUAACAUGCAUUGUUCUUCAAAAGAAACUUCAAAUGGUAGAUGCAGUUCUCCAGAUUUGACACCCAUGAAAGAAUUGAUUGCUGCAGCUCAGUUCAAGCGAACUUUGUCUCACUGCACUUCAUUUACUCAUAACUAUUUAGACAGUAAACUCAUUCCAGAUACAGUAGUAAGCCCAUCCCUAGUCCACAAACAAGAUUCUCCCGGGCAGGGUAUACCUUGUAAUGGUUUGGCCGACCAUAAAUUGACUGUUGAUGAUGGGAUUCAUGCUCUCCAGAAUGACGGCAGAGGUCCUCAUGUUAGUAUUCGGCUGAAAGGAACAAACAAAUCUAUCCGUCCAGAAGCAAGUGCAGCAAGGAAAACUUUUGAAGCUUUGUUGUGGACUUUAUCAAGAACAAAAGAGAGUAUAGGCAGAGCAACACGUCUUGCAAUUGAUUGUGCCAAAUAUGGAAUGGCUAGAGAGGUAAUUGAACUAAUACUCCAGUAUCUAGAAAGAGAACAAAGCUUGCACAAAAGGGUAGAUCUUUUCUUCCUUGUGGAUUCAAUUACUCAAUGUUCUCACAUUCAGAAAGGUGGAGCUAGCGAUGUUUACCCUUCUCUUGUCCAAUCAGUGCUUCCACGCCUUUUGUCCUUUGCUGCCCCUCGUGGAAAUGCUGCAUCAGAGAAUCGUAGGCAAUGCCUUAAGGUAUUGAGAUUAUGGUUUGAAAGAAAAACCUUGCCAGAAUCAGUGGUUCGUUAUCACAUGCGAGAACUUGAUUCUGCAAACGAAUUUCCAUUUGGCUCUUCUUCUCGACGUCCAUUGAAAACAGAGAGGGCUAUUAAUGAUCCUAUCAGGGAUAUGGAGGGAAUGCUUGUUGAUGAGUAUGGAAGCAACACAAAUUUUCAACUUCCUUGCCUGCUGCGAGCUAAUGUGCUUGAAGAUGAUGGAAAUACUUCUGAUGAAAAAAGCUUUGAGGCUGUCACACCUGAAGGAUCUGCUCCAAUUGAUCAAAAGGCACAUGCUUCCUCUGAGAAGAAUCGACAUGUAUUGGAAGAUGUUGAUGUUGAACUUGAGAUGGAGGAUGUAUCUCCUCCCUGUGAAGAUAGCAUAAACUCAACCUGUCCUGUUGCAAGUGCUGCUGAUUUUAAUUCUCAUCAUCAAGCUAAUCAUCAAUAUCCAUUGCCCUUUGCUCCUCCACUUCCAGAUGCAAAACCACCAUCCCCACCCCCGCUGCCAUCAUCUCCUCCUCCAGUUUCUUCUUGUUCAGAUGGACAUGGUCUUGCCUCACAGUGUCAUUUAAGAAGUCAGAGCCUUAAUGAUGCUGCUGAUUUACAUUCUACUGGAAAUGCCCUUAACAUGCAAAGCCAACAGCCUCAUCUUUUUACCCAACAACAUACGAAUCAACAUGAUAGUUUGAUGCCUAAGCCUGCAUCAUAUUAUGCUCCCAAUUAUGGUAGUACUCCUGGUCAGAUGCCUCCACCAACUGUAUCUGCUUCUUAUGGAACUACUACUCAUCCAUUUGUACAUUCUCAGAAUAGUUUGCAGCCCUCAGUUAGCACUACUUUGACAGAUACAGUUUACCACGUGCAGCCGCCUCCACCAACAGUUUCAAAUCACUUUUCUUAUGUUCAAGCUGAACCUCAGCAAAGACCACAAAUGUGUGGUAAUUAUCCUCUCCCUGAGAGAUAUCAGUAUAUACAGGAUAAUAUCCAUCGAGGGAAUUUUCAUUCUGAUCAAGCUACAGGUAGGCAGUUUCAAAAUGAGAUAGUAGCAAGAAGCAAUUUUUCUCCAGCUACUCAGUCUGGUACUGUGUUCAUCUGUGGUUUGAGUACCAUUGUAUUUUUUCUGAAGAAAAUUUUAUAUUGUAUACCUGAUUUUUUUUUCCUACCUUCCUCCCCUUUUAAAGGUUCAUCCGUCUAUGGCAAUAUUGAAACACCAUCUGCUUCUCUGCCCCAUUAUGGCCAUCCACCAGAACCUCCUCCAAUUGCAUGUAGUGGUUGGUCACGUCCACCAAUGUCAAAUUUCUCUGCACCAACUUCAAGAUUGCCAGAAGUUCCAGCUCCAAGAAUGGAAGGUGGUAUUGGUGAUUCAAGAAUACCUUCUUGAUCACGUGUUAAUUUAUUUAUUUUAUUGUUCCUUGGAUUCCACAAAUUUUUCAUGUUGUAAAGUUAACCCUUUUGGUUGGCAGGGUGUGGCUAUUGGAGACCAAGAUGAUUUUUCUUUAAAUUGGCUGUUUAUGAGGAUCAAUCACGUAGAUACUUUCUUAGAAGUACUCAAUCUUCAGCUGACUGGUGAUUAUGUAAAGGGAGUUUUCUGCUUUGAAGAUGAGCAACGUGAUUGGCCUCAUUGUAAAUAGUUGUAUCAGCAAAUAUUCUUCAAAUGCAGCGGUGGAAGGGACUGUGUAGGUACUUACCAAUCUAGUUAUUUGUAGAUUUAGUCGGAUAGUCUUAUAUAUUCCUAUGAGUAGGAUCAUGGUAUAUCAGUCUUUGCCUGAUCAUUUUUUUUUCUUCAAAAAAAAUUUUUCCCCAUUUUUUGUUGUUUUCAAUUCCAUUUUCCAAACUGGAAGAGCUCCCAAAUUGGAAAGCUAAAGUAAUGCAGAUUUGAUAA